GGAAUAUAAGAACUUGACACUUAACUUUUAACUAAAAAGGUAAGAACCGUUUCUUAAAUAAGAGUUUCAAGAGACAGUUCUUAACUUUUUUAGUUAAAAGUUAAGAGACGGGUUCUUAUAUUAC
rfam:Brassica napus, WGS project CCCW01000000 data, contig: 18346